rnacentral:rRNA from 1 species
UACGUAGGGUGCGAGCGUUAAUCGGAAUUACUGGGCGUAAAGCGCACGUAGGCGGCUAUUCAAGUCAGAGGUGAAAGCCCAGGGCUCAACCUUGGAACUGCCUUUGAAACUAGAUAGCUAGAAUCCUGGAGAGGCGAGUGGAAUUCCUGGUGUAGCGGUGAAAUGCGCAGAUAUCAGGAAGAACACCCGUGGCGAAAGCGGCUCUCUGGAACGGUACUGACGCUGAGAUGCGAAAGCGUGGGGAGCGAACAGG